rnacentral:lncRNA from 1 species
GCAUGCAUGCAUGCAUGGUACGAACGUCUGGAUAGAGUCUCCGAGCUGAGUGUGGUCCGACGUGGAAGUGUACGUCUCAACACACGACGCAUGUGACCGACAAGGGCAAGUUGAAGUCUAUGCAUGGAUGGGCCUGAGCGCCGCGCUGAAUGAAUCUGGACGGGUGGUAGGGCAUCUCGGUGGGCAAAACAAAUAACUCCGUGUGCUGCAUGGCUGCCUUUGGAAUCUUUGCAUGCAGCUGUGUGCUGAACUGAAACCCUUCGCUCUAUCUAUAUAAACAGAUGCCCUUCGCUCUCGUCUCAGCAGGCAGCAUCGUCUCAAGUUUUGUUCUCCUCUCCUAGCUAGCCAGCACCUGCAGAUCUGCUCGUUGCCUUGGUAAUUCAUCAUGUAGGCUACUGAUUUUGUGGAACGAAGCGAUGGCUCGCAGCGGCGCCGUGGUUUCCUGCAUGCUGCUCCUGGUGGUGGCGGCGCAACUGCUCAUGGUGAUGGCCACGCAGACAGCGGCGGCGGCGGCGGCGGCGGGCGACCAACGCGGAGCUGGACGCCGGCUGCUGUGGCAGGUGACCUGCCACUACAGCAACUGUAAUUGCCGCACUUGCCCGAUAUAUGGCUGGGCGUGCUGCAGCACUUGCUGCUAGCUAGCUAGCUAGCUAGUGUGAGUUCUUCCGCGCGCGCAAGCAGCCUUUGCAUACCACCCCUCUUGCUUAGCUCAUGCAUGUCCAGCAGUAGCCGGUUGCUGGGCUCGUCGUCGUCGUCGUCUGCGGCGGCGGCGGCGGGGGCGGGGGCGGCGUCAUCUCUGGCGUGGUUACGUUCUCAUCAGCGACUUCUAAUGGCGCUCGCUCGAUCUUUAUUUCCUGCAGUCCUUUUUGUAAUAAGAAGCCAAUUGAUGUGUGUGCACGCGCAAUCCUAAUAAUAAAUAGAUCUUCUUUGUGCCUUGCUUUGUUUGAUAUAUAUAAUAAAAGUCUUCGUUGCAAACGUACAUCUUUUUUAUUUAGGAAAUUCAUUUUUUACUACCGCUUUCCGGACGGCAUGCAGGCCUCAAGUGUGCUGUAAAAAAAAGUGCAAGUUGAGAGAGAGCCGUUUCAUGUCACGCUCGAAAUCCAGUGGACUCGUUUUGAGACAAUUUAUUAUCCACCAACCAUCUAAAGUUAACUUGGCGCCACCUUUUUUCCGCGAUACGUAGUAUUAGUAGAGCUGGGCAUCUUUGUACUAAGAAUACGAAAACAUCGUACAACCAAACAAAAGAAUAGAACAGGC